rnacentral:rRNA from 1 species
AGCCCUGGAAACGGGGUCUAAUACCGGAUAUGACCGUCCAUCGCAUGGUGGAUGGUGUAAAGCUCCGGCGGUGCAGGAUGAGCCCGCGGCCUAUCAGCUAGUUGGUGAGGUAGUGGCUCACCAAGGCGACGACGGGUAGCCGGCCUGAGAGGGCGACCGGCCACACUGGGACUGAGACACGGCCCAGACUCCUACGGGAGGCAGCAGUGGGGAAUAUUGCACAAUGGGCGAAAGCCUGAUGCAGCGACGCCGCGUGAGGGAUGACGGCCUUCGGGUUGUAAACCUCUUUCAGCAGGGAAGAAGCGAAAGUGACGGUACCUGCAGAAGAAGCGCCGGCUAACUACGUGCCAGCAGCCGCGGUAAUACGUAGGGCGCAAGCGUUGUCCGGAAUUAUUGGGCGUAAAGAGCUCGUAGGCGGCUUGUCACGUCGGUUGUGAAAGCCCGGGGCUUAACCCCGGGUCUGCAGUCGAUACGGGCAGGCUAGAGUUCGGUAGGGGAGAUCGGAAUUCCUGGUGUAGCGGUGAAAUGCGCAGAUAUCAGGAGGAACACCGGUGGCGAAGGCGGAUCUCUGGGCCGAUACUGACGCUGAGGAGCGAAAGCGUGGGGAGCGAACAGGAUUAGAUACCCUGGUAGUCCACGCCGUAAACGGUGGGCACUAGGUGUGGGCAACAUUCCACGUUGUCCGUGCCGCAGCUAACGCAUUAAGUGCCCCGCCUGGGGAGU